rnacentral:lncRNA from 1 species
GCCGAAACCCAUGAAAUACUAUAUUUAAAGAAGAAAAAGAAACAAAUGCUUUCAAAAGAAGAGUUAAGUUAACUAGUAAAAGAACAGUAAAAGCUUGGAUUCCAUCUUGCAGAAUCCUGGUACCACUAUGGUGUUUUUCUUUAGUACCUUCUCUCUUUUCUUGGUUUCAGAUGCUCCUCAUAGCACUGGGACUAAGAACUUUCAGUAUGGGGUGGGCC